rnacentral:rRNA from 1 species
AGCAGUAGCCGCGGGAAUACAGAGGGUGCGAGCGUUAAUCGGAUUUACUGGGCGUAAAGCGUGCGUAGGCGGCUUCUUAAGUCGGAUGUGAAAUCCCUGAGCUUAACUUAGGAAUUGCAUUCGAUACUGGGAAGCUAGAGUAUGGGAGAGGAUGGUAGAAUUCCAGGUGUAGCGGUGAAAUGCGUAGAGAUCUGGAGGAAUACCGAUGGCGAAGGCAGCCAUCUGGCCUAAUACUGACGCUGAGGUACGAAAGCAUGGGGAGCAAACAGGAUUAGAUACCCGGGUAGUCCCUGUCUCUUAUAA